CAGCCGUAAACAAUGUGCGUUAGGUGUGUCGGUAACCACGCGUUACUGAUGCGCCGAAGAGAAAUCGUGAAACGCACCACCUGGGAAGUACGGUCGCAAGGCUGAAACUUAAAGGAAUUGGCGGGGGGAGCACCACAACAGGUGGAGCCUGCGGUUUAAUUUGGAUUCAACGCCGGACAUCUCACCGGAUAAGACAGCUGAAUGAUUGCCGGGCUGAAGACCCUGCAUGACUAGCUGAGAGGAGGUGCAUGGCG
rnacentral:rRNA from 1 species